AUGUCAAAUUGCUCAUACAAGAGGCCUUCGCCAUGGGACUCCAUUUUCCCUUAUCUAUUUGUUAUGUGCAUGAAUUUUUUAUCUCAUGCUAUUAUGAAGGCAGAUAAUAACAAUCAAUGGAAGCCUGGGUGUAUUUUAAGGAAUGGCCCUUCCCUUUCCCACCUCUUUUUUGCUGAUGAUGUGUUAUUUUUCUCUAAAGUUAUUGUCACUCAAGCAACUAUUAUUGAAGGUGUGUCGGAGGAGUUUGUUGGUAAAUCUGGUCUUAAAGUGAAUGUAAAUAAAUCUAGAGCAUUCUUCUACUGCCACUAG